rnacentral:rRNA from 1 species
UACGAAGGGGGCUAGCGUUGCUCGGAAUCACUGGGCGUAAAGGGUGCGUAGGCGGGUCUUUAAGUCAGGGGUGAAAUCCUGGAGCUCAACUCCAGAACUGCCUUUGAUACUGAAGAUCUUGAGUGCGGGAGAGGUGAGUGGAACUGCGAGUGUAGAGGUGAAAUUCGUAGAUAUUCGCAAGAACACCAGUGGCGAAGGCAGCUCACUGGCCCGAUACUGACGCUGAGGCACGAAAGCGUGGGGAGCAAACAGG